rnacentral:rRNA from 1 species
AUGAGCGGCUCCGCCACCGCCCUGCGCGCCUCCCAUGUGGGGGUGGUGGCCCAUGGGCCCUCCCAUCGGGCCCAUACCAGGAAAGCCGGGAGCGCCCAUCAUGUUAGGCCUCAUCAUGGCCUGCUGCUGCGGCGGCAUGCCGAUGCCGCCCAUCGGUCCACCGACACCGAGGCCGGGGCCACCGCCGCCGCCCUUCUUCCCAGGUUGGCCCGCCUGGCCCCCGCCGCCCGGGGCGCCUCCUCCUCCUCCUUUGGCGUUGUUCGCCUGGCCACCGCCUCCAUUCUUGCCACCGCCGUUGCCGUUACCGCCCCCGCCACCUUGGUUCUGCUUGCCACCUGCGUCUUUCUUGCCACCGCCACCGCCACCGCCGUUGUUGGGAUUCCCCUUGAUCUGCACCGGGAUCUCGUUGCCACCCUUCUUGCCACCAUUGUUGCCGCCCUUCUUGUCUCCUCCACCGGCGUUCGGUGGCAUGGCCAUCGGCUUCAUCAUCAUCUUGGGGUCGUCGAAGUAGUCGUCGUCGAGGCCGUCAUCGUCGAAAUCAUCCUCGUCGUCGAAGUCGUCGAACUCGUCGUCGAACUCGCUGCCGUCGUCCCCGAACUCAUCCUCUGGUGGGAGGUUGAACUUGACGGACUUGGGGUCCUUCAUCGGCGCGGCCGCCGCGAACGGCAUCUUCCCGUCCAUGAACUGCGGCAGCUUCAUUCCCUUCAUCUGCAUCUGCUGUUGCAGCUGCUGAAGCUGCUGCGCCGUCGGCUGCGGCAUCAUCAUCUUUGCGUCCUUGCUAGCACCUCCGCCGCCGCCGCCGCCGCCGCCGCCACCUUUCUGACCCUUGGCACCGCCGGCGUCCUUGGACUGGCCCUUGCCACCGGCGUCCUUGGCCUGGCCCUUAGCACCGCCGUCAAGUUGGAGCUUCUGAAACUGGUUAGCCAUUCCAGCCUUGGACCCCCAGAGUUCGGCUGGCUUGCCAGCCUUGGUCAGCUUCUUGAUGAUGGUGUCCGGAUCCACCAUGCCAGACACCGUCACCUUCCCCUGCUCCGGGUCUAUGCUGGAUUGGAUCUUCUUGACCUUCUUCUGGCAGCCAUCACAGUGGAUGUUCACUUUGAGCACGCAAGUCUGGGAAUUUCGGAGGAACAGAGAACACAGGGUCACCAAAAUAGCAAAACAUGGAGGUUUGGAAACACAAGAUAG